rnacentral:lncRNA from 1 species
GGCAGAAGAAUCGUUUGAACCUAGGAGGUGUAAGUUUUACAGUGAGCCAAGAUUGUGCCAUUGUACUCCAGCCUGGGUGACAGAGUGAGACUGUCUCAAAAAAAAAAAAAAAAAUUAAGAACCAAAAGAUAGUCAAUUUCACAAUCAUAGUGGGAGGCUUUAAUACAACUCUCUGAAUAGCUGAUAGAACAAUGAAAUUCAGAGGACCAGUGAGCACGUAGGAGACCUGAACGACACAGUUAAAAAGCUUGAUGUAAUUGGCAUAUGAUCACACCCAACAACACCAUAAAACAUGUAUCAUAAAUAACCAUAUACUGAGCCAUAAAAAAGCAUCAGUAAAUAUCAAAUGAUUGACAUCAUUCAGAGUAUGUUAUCUGAUUAUCAUGGAAUUAAGGUAGAAAUUAGUAAUAAAAUGAUAAGAAAAACACCCCCACUAAAAAUUUAACAGUGCAGUUUAACAUAAUUCAGAGGUCUAAGAUGAAAUAAAAAUAGAAACUAGAAAAUAAUUGAGUAAUAUUAUUAACACAUGUCAAGACUUGUAGGAUGGAGGUAAAGUGGUGCUUAGAGGGAAUGAUCUAGCUUUAAAUGUACAUAUUCGAGUAAGUUUCCAUCUUAGAAUGCUAGAAAAGGAAGAGUGAAUUUAACAUAAGGAAAGAAGAAAAAAGACCAUAAUAGCAGAAAUCAGUUAAAUCUUUUUAAAAACGUAAAACAGUAAAUCAAGAGUCAAAAGUUCAAAAAAUUUAUAAAAUUAUUUGCUGCAUAUAUGAUCAAUCAUAAAAUAAAGAAAAAGAAUUUACCAAUAACAGGAAUGGAAAGAACAGAGCUAUAGAUCCUACAGAUAUCGAAAUAUAAGAUAAUUUUAUGAACAAUUUUAUUACAAUAAAUUUGAUGAGCUGGAAAAAUGGACAAAUGUCUCAAAAAGGACAAUUUACCAAACCUGACAGCAGAAAAAACAGAAAGCCUGAACUGACCUAUAGCUAUUAAAGAAAUUGAUUCUAGACAUGAAGUCCUUGCCCAUGCCUAUGUCCUGAAUGGUAUUGCCUAGGUUUUCUUCUAGGGUUUUUAUAGUUUUAGGUCUAACAUUUAAGUCUUUAAUCCAUCUUGAAUUAAUUUUUGUAUAAGGUAUAAGUAAGGGAUCCAGUUUCAACUUUCUACAUAUGGCUAGCCAGUUUUCCCAGCACCAUUUGUUAAAUAGGGAAUCCUUUCCCCAUUUCUUGUUUUUGUCAGGUUUGUCAAAGAUCAGAUAGUUGUAGAUGUGUGGUAUUAUUUCUGAGGGCUCUGUUCUGUUCCAUUGGUCUAUAUCUCUGUUUUGGUACCAGUACCAUGCUGUUUCGGUUACUGUAGCCUUGUAUUAUAGUUUGAAGUCAGGUAGCGUGAUGCCUGCAGCUUUGUUCUUUUGGCUUAGGAUUGACUUGGCAAUGCGGGCUCUUUUUUGGUUCCAUAUGAACUUUAAAGUAGUUUUUUCCAAUUCUGUGAAGAAAGUCAUUGGCAGGAGGGAUAGCAUUAGGAGAUAUACCUAAUGUAAAUGACGAGUUAAUGGGUGCAGCACACCAACAUGGCACAUGUAUACAUAUGUAAGAAAGCUGCACAUUGUGCACAUGUACCCUAGAACUUAAAGUAUAAUAAAAUAUAUUUUUUUUUUAAAAAAAGAAAUUGAUUCUGAGUAUAAAUAGGACCUUCCUAUGAAAUAACCUCUAAGUUUAAAUGGUUUCUUUGGUGAAUUCUUCCAAAUGCCUAGGGAAGAAAGAACAACAGUCUUGUGCAAACUCUUGCAGGAAAUAGAAAAAGAGGAAACACUUCUUAUGAGGCUAGUAUAAUCUUGAUUCCAAAAUAUGGCAAGUAUAUUACAAGAAUGAAAAAUAAUGGCUGAAAUUGUACCCAAUUUUAAAACAUAACUAUAAAGCCACAGUAAUCAAGUCAGUGUAGUGCUGGCACAAGGAUGGAAAUAAGGAUCAAUGGAACAGAAUUGAGAUUUGUGAAAUUUAUGGUUAAUCGAUUUUUGACAAAGAUGCUAACAAAUCAGUAGGGCAAAAGAUAGUCUUUUCAAUAGAUGGUUCUGGGAUAAUUGAAUAGCCACGUGCAAAAAACAAACAAACAACAUCACCAAAAAACAAAAACAAAAAGUCAGCUUAAGCCCUUAACUCAAUAUAACUAUUGAUAUGGUUGGAUUACAUUUGCCAUUUUGCCAUUUUUUGUCUGUAGGUCUUUCUUUUGUUCUCCUAUUUCUCCUUUACUGCUUUAUUUUGUGUUAAAUACAUAUUUUAGUAUUCCAUUGAAAAGCAUCUGUUGCAUUUUUUAGCUAUAUAAUUUAUUUUCUUUCCUUUCUUUCUUUCUUUCUUUCUUUUUUUUUUUUUUUUUCUUUUGAGACAGGAGUCUUGCUCUGUCUCCCAGGCUGGAGUGCAAUGGUGCGAUCNNNNNNNNNNNNNNNNNNNNNNNNNNNNNNNNNNNNNNNNNNNNNNNNNNNNNNNNNNNNNNNNNNNNNNNNNNNNNNNNNNNNNNNNNNNNNNNNNNNNNNNNNNNNNNNNNNNNNNNNNNNNNNNNNNNNNNNNNNNNNNNNNNNNNNNNNNNNNNNNNNNNNNNNNNNNNNNNNNNUGAUGUCUCCAGCAGUCAGUUUGGGAUAUACGAAACAACAGGGGAAUUCAUGGAACUCGUCACUUUGUCAUUCCUCAGGUCCUGAGAUACCAAAGUGAUCUGCCUUUUCUCGCCACCUUUCAGAGUCUCUUUAUACUUGUCUUGUUUACAAUGUUCAGGGAUUUUAGCUGUACUUAGCUAAAACAGGGAGAAGUGUAUCUACUUCAUUUUGUCCAGCACCAGAAUUCUAUUUUGCAUCAUCUUUGAAGGGUAGCUUGGGCGAGUAUAGAAUUCUCGGUUGAUAAUUGUUUUUUCCUUCAGUGCUUUUGAAUAUCUUCUUUACUGUGUGGCCUCCAUUGUUUCAGGUGAGAAGUGAGCUAUUAAUCAUGAUGAUAGCUCCCUAGAAAUAUAAAUAGAGUCCAUUUUUUUCUUGUUUCUUUUGAAUUUUUUUUUCUCUUUGACUUUCAAUCAUUUAACUAUAAUGGGUUUAGGUGUGAAUAUCUUUAUAUUUAUUUUAUAUGGAGUUUUUGGAGCUAUUUUGCGUGUAUUCUGGUAUUUUUCAUCAAAAUGGGGAAGUUUGCGGCCAUAUUUAUUAAAAUAUUUUCUCUGUACUUUUCUCUCUUUCCUCCUUUCCUGAGACUUCCAUUAUACAUAUGUGGCUUUGUCUCACAGGUCUCUGAAUCUCUGUUUAUUUUAUUCAAUAGCAUUUACUUUGUUUUUAAGAUGGGAUACUUUCUAUUGGUCUGUCUUCACACACAUUAUUUCUUCUGCCAUCUAGAACUUGCUGUUGAACCCAUCUGGUGAAUUUCUAUUUCAGUUGUUCCUUUCAAGUACAGAAUUUACAUUUGGAUCUUUCUCCUACAACAUCUAUCUCCUUACUGGAAUUCUCUAUAUGUUAAUUCAUUUUUGUUCUACUUUUCUUUAAUUCUUUGAAAAUGGUCUCCUUUAGUAAUUUAAAUAUAACAGUUGAUUUUAAGUUCUUGUCUGCUAGAUCCAACAUCUGCAGAUACUAAGAGACUAUUAACUUUUUUUCAUGAGUAUGGAUCACACUUUGCUGUUUCUUUGCAUAUCUUAUAAAUUUUUUGGAUAAAAACUACACAUUUUAAAUAUACGUUGAAUAUCCCUAAUCUGAAAUCUGAAAUUCUCCAAAAUCCAAAAGUUUCUGAGCACUGACAUGAUGCCACAGUAGAAAAUUC